rnacentral:rRNA from 1 species
GGAUAACACCUGGAAACAGAUGCUAAUACCGGAUAACAACACUAGACGCAUGUCUAGAGUUUGAAAGAUGGUUCUGCUAUCACUCUUGGAUGGACCUGCGGUGCAUUAGCUAGUUGGUAAGGUAACGGCUUACCAAGGCAAUGAUGCAUAGCCGAGUUGAGAGACUGAUCGGCCACAUUGGGACUGAGACACGGCCCAAACUCCUACGGGAGGCAGCAGUAGGGAAUCUUCCACAAUGGACGAAAGUCUGAUGGAGCAACGCCGCGUGAGUGAAGAAGGGUUUCGGCUCGUAAAGCUCUGUUGGUAGUGAAGAAAGAUAGAGGUAGUAACUGGCCUUUAUUUGACGGUAAUUACUUAGAAAGUCACGGCUAACUACGUGCCAGCAGCCGCGGUAAUACGUAGGUGGCAAGCGUUGUCCGGAUUUAUUGGGCGUAAAGCGAGUGCAGGCGGUUCAAUAAGUCUGAUGUGAAAGCCUUCGGCUCAACCGGAGAAUUGCAUCAGAAACUGUUGAACUUGAGUGCAGAAGAGGAGAGUGGAACUCCAUGUGUAGCGGUGGAAUGCGUAGAUAUAUGGAAGAACACCAGUGGCGAAGGCGGCUCUCUGGUCUGCAACUGACGCUGAGGCUCGAAAGCAUGGGUAGCGAACAGGAUUAGAUACCCUGGUAGUCCAUGCCGUAAACG